CCUACGGGAGACAGCAGUGGGGAAUAUUGCACAAUGGGGGAAACCCUGAUGCAGCAACGCCGCGUGAGUGAGGAAGUAUUUCGGUAUGUAAAGCGCUAUCAGCAGGGAAUAGCAUAGAAGGUACCUGAAAAAGAAGCCCCGGCUAACUACGUUCAAGCAGCCGCGGGAAUACGUAGGGCGCAAGCGGUAUUCGGAAUUACGGGGUGUAAAGGGUGCGGAGACGGAAAGGCAAGUCAGAUGUGAAAACCCAAGGGCCAACCAUGGGAUGGCUUUGGAAACUGUCAAACUAGAGUAAGGGAGAGGUAAGAGGAAUGCCAAGUGAAGCGGUGAAAUGCGUAGAUAUUAGGAGGAACACCAGAGGCGAAGGCGUCUUACUGGACCUAAACUGACGUUGAGGCUCGAAAGCGUGGGGAGCAAACAGGAUUAGAUACCCUUGUAGUC
rnacentral:rRNA from 1 species